rnacentral:rRNA from 1 species
UCGCAUCUGUGCAUGCAGCAUAUCAAUAAGCGGAGGAAAAGAAACUAACAAGGAUUCCCCUAGUAACGGCGAGCGAAGCGGGAAGAGCUCAAAUUUGAAAUCUUAAAGGGUUUCCCUUUACGAAUUGUAGUUUAAAGAAGUGUUUUCUGUUGAGGUUUUGGUAAAAGUUCUUUGGAAUAGGACAUCAUAGAGGGUGAGAAUCCCGUAUUUGACCUUUACUUUCAACUUUGUGAUACACUUUCAAAGAGUCGGAUUGUUUGGGAAUGCAGUCCAAAACUGGGUGGUAAAUUUCAUCUAAAGCUAAAUAUUGGCGAGAGACCGAUAGCGAACAAGUACCGUGAGGGAAAGAUGAAAAGAACUAUUUGAAAAGAGAGUUAAACAGUACGUGAAAUUGUCAAAAGGGAAGCGUUUGACACCAGUGUUGUUUUUCUGAAAAUCAAUUAAAGAACUGUUUAUGCUAAGCUGUUUAGACUUUAUCAGCUAACUGUUUAGUUUUGAGCUUUUCUUUAAUGCACUUUUCAGUUAACAAGUCAACAUCAAUUUCUUUUGCUGUAAAAAAGCUUGAGGAAGGUGGCUUGAGAUUCGUCUUAAGUGUUUAUAGCCUCUUGCCUAUGCAGUCGGAGAGAUUGAGGUCUGCAGCGUAGAUCCUUCGGGGCUAAAUGCAUUUGUGCUAAGUUAUAGCAUUUUAUAGACAACUUGUUGACUAUGAUUUGUCUUGUAGCUUACUCGCUUAUGUUAUUUUACCUACGCUUAGGAUGUUGAGUCAUCACACAUCUCU